CGCGGGAUAGAGCAGCUUGGUAGCUCGUCGGGCUCAUAACCCGAAGGUCGGGGGUUCAAAUCCCUCUCCCGCAACCA
rnacentral:tRNA from 1 species